rnacentral:misc_RNA from 1 species
UUUCCGUUGGUGAACCAGCGGAGGGAUCAUUACAGAGUUGCAAAACUCCCAAACCUUUGUGAACGAAACCUCUCCCGUCGCCUCCGCGGACGCCCCCAGCCCCGUGCCCGGCGCCGCCUGACCACCCGUGGGCGCCCGCGGGAGUUAAAUCAAACCCUUGAAUUGUAUGGCCUCUCUGAAUCUUCUGUACUGUAUCAGGCAAAACUUUCGACAACGGAAAUCCUGGAUCUCACACCGAUGAAGAACGCAGAAGAUCGGAAAAGCACAAGUCCGAACUCC